AUGGGGACGGCGGCCUCCACCCGCGAGCGCGAUGCAAUCCACACGGAGAUGGAGACGGCGGCAGUCUCCUCCAGCAAGCGCGCCCGCCUCGGCGGCUCCGACCGGCUGAGCGACCUGCCAGACUGCCUCCUGCACGACAUCCUCUCCCUCCUCGGGUGCCGGCAGGCCGUGCGCACGAGCGCGCUCUCGCGUCGGUGGAGGCACCUCUGGCGCUCCAUGACCUGCCUCAACAUCGACCAGCGCGAGUUCCAGCGCUCCGGCGUCCCACCGCCAUUAGACGUGUGCCAGUGGGACAGCUUCGAAGACAUGGCCGACAGCCUGCUAUCGACGUCGAUCACCACCCCAUCGGCGCCGCUGGACGCGUUCCGCCUGCACUUGGUCGACGGCAGCAAGAAGACGGGCGUCGACAGGUGGAUCCGCCGCGGGCUCGCGCGCCGGCCGGCUGCCGUCGACAUACACUACGGCUACGGCUACGUCGGCAGAGUCUGCUGGCCGGACACGUCGCGCUUGGCCUCCGGCGCUACCUGCCGCCUCACGAGGCUCCGUCUCUUCGGCGUCCAGCUGAGCCCUAGUUUCGGGCGGGAUCUCGGCGACCAGUGCCCCGUCCUCGAGGACCUGCACAUCGAGAACUGCAGAGAAGAUUUCUGCACCGUCGCAUCUCCCACGCUCAAGAGCUUCGCCCUCGUCAGCCCCUCCGAUUACAGCUACAGGUCCUCCGCUCUUGUCCUGGCGGUUCCUCACCUAGCCUCGUUGCGCCUCGUGCUCCCGUUCAGCGGCUACCGUGGCUACGCCGUCGCCACUUCUGAGAACGAGGUGCUGGCAUCGCUCGUCCAGGCGUCCAUCUGUAUAAAGGACAUGGAUGACGAGGUGCAGCGGAACAGACGGGUGAUGAAGCCGCACAAGCUUGAUUUCUUGAAGUCCAUGUGCAACUUCCUCGCCUGCAUCCCCAAUGUCAGAAAUCUACAUCUCUCGGGGUUCACCACGACGCGGCCGCCGGAUCCUUCCUCCCUACCCCCGCUCCCGUGCAGCGCCGCCGUGCUGCACCGGGGCGUCCCCGCCUCCCUCCUUCGGCCCCCCGCCACCACUCUCCUCUCCGCCGCCAUCGGUGACGCCGCCAGGGCAAAGCUCGAGCGGCUUGGCGGCGGCGGUCUUCUCCUCGCGCAUCAGCUACUCAAGAUCGAUGCAGCGGCUCCGAUCUUGAUCUUCUUGGCGGUGAUGGCGGACAACGGCGGCUGGAGUGUGGCAGCGGGUCUGUAG
rnacentral:rRNA from 1 species